GAUGAACGCUAGCUACAGGCUUAACACAUGCAAGUCGAGGGACCGGCGCACGGGUGAGUAACACGUAUCCAACCUGCCCUUUACUCGGGGAUAGCCUUUCGACAGAAAGAUCAAUACCCGAUAUAAAGGAUGGGGUUGCGUUCCUUUAGGUUGUUGGUGAGGUACCGGCUCACCAAGCCUUCGAUGGAUAGGGGUUCUGAGAGGAAGGCCCCCGACAUUGGAACUGCGACACGGUCCAAACUCCUACGGGAGGCAGCAGUGAGGAAUAGUGGUCAAUGGGCGCUAGCCUGAACCAGCCAAGUGGCGUGAAGGAUGAAGGCUUAUGGGUCUUAAACUUCUUUUAUAUAAGAAUAUGUAUUAUAUGAAUAAGGAUCGGCUAACUCCGUGCCAGCAGCCGCGGUAAUUC
rnacentral:rRNA from 1 species